rnacentral:rRNA from 1 species
GCUUACGGCCAUACCAGCCUGGGUACGCCCGAUCUCGUCUGAUCUCGGAAGCUAAGCAGGGUCGUGCCUGGUUAGUACUUGGAUGGGAGACCACCUGGGAAUACCAAGUGCUGUAAUCA